rnacentral:rRNA from 1 species
GACGAAGGAUGCAAGCGUUAUCCGGAUUCAUUGGGUUUAAAGGGAGCGUAGGGGGCCUUAUAAGUCAGUGGUGAAAUCUCGAGGCUUAACCUCGAAAUUGCCAUUGAUACUGUAGGGCUUGAGUACAGUUGCUGUGGGCGGAAUAUGACAUGUAGUGGUGAAAUACAUAGAGAUGUCAUAGAACACCGAUUGCGAAGGCAGCUCACAAAACUGUAACUGACACUGAGGCUCGAAAGUGCGGGGAUCAAACAGG